rnacentral:rRNA from 1 species
UCACCCUGUGACAUACCUAUAACGUUGCCUCGGCGGGAACAGACGGCCCCGUAACACGGGCCGCCCCCGCCAGAGGACCCCCUAACUCUGUUUCUAUAAUGUUUCUUCUGAGUAAACAAGCAAAUAAAUUAAAACUUUCAACAACGGAUCUCUUGGCUCUGGCAUCGAUGAAGAACGCAGCGAAAUGCGAUAAGUAAUGUGAAUUGCAGAAUUCAGUGAAUCAUCGAAUCUUUGAACGCACAUUGCGCCCGCCAGUAUUCUGGCGGGCAUGCCUGUUCGAGCGUCAUUACAACCCUCAGGCCCCCGGGCCUGGCGUUGGGGAUCGGCGGAAGCCCCCUGCGGGCACAACGCCGUCCCCCAAAUACAGUGGCGGUCCCGCCGCAGCUUCCAUUGCGUAGUAGCUAACACCUCGCAACUGGAGAGCGGCGCGGCCACGCCGUAAAACACCCAACUUCUGAAUGUUGACCUCGAAUCAGGUAGGAAUACCCGC